UUUGAGUUUGAGUUUUUAGUUACAACGUUUGAUCACUCGUCUUAUUUAAAAUUUUUAAAAAUUAUUAAUUAUUUUAUUUGUGAGUUACUUUAUUAUCUACGGUACUUUAAGCACAACUUUUCAUUUUUUAUAUUUACAAAAAAAAUUUGAAUAAGACGAGUGGUCAAACGUUGCAAGUAAAAACUGAAAAUCACUUAUA
rnacentral:pre_miRNA from 1 species